ACAUGAACUCUUGCUGUUUCGCUGAAAGUGGCGGACGGGUGAGUAAUGCCUGGGAAAUGCCUGAUGGAGGGGGAUAACUACUGGCAAUGGUAGCUAAUACCGUAUAACGUCACAAGACCAAAGAGGGGGACCUUCGGGCCUCUUGCCAUCGGAUGUGCCCAAAUGGAAUUAUCUAGUAUGUGGGGUAGCGGCUCACCUAGGCGACGAUCCAUAUCUGGACUGAGAGGAUGACCAGACACACUGGAACUGAGACACGGUCCACACUCCUACGCUAGGCAGCAGUGGGGAAUAUUGCACUACGGGCGAAGCCUGACGCAGCCAUGCCUCUUGUAUGAAGAAGGCCUUCGGGUUGAAAAGUCUUUCCCGGGGAAGAAGGUAGUAAAGUUUUUUUCCUUUGCUCAUUGACGUUUCCCGCAGAAUACGCGGCGGCGAACUCCGCGCCACCAUCCGCAGCAAUACGGGUGGCUCA
rnacentral:rRNA from 1 species